CUUCUGUUGCAUCCAAGGGUAAGUGUUACACCCUCAUUUUAUUUGUUUUUUGUUUUGUAUUUUGAAGAAAUAUCUUUUAGUAUAUGAUUCUGUUUUAUUUUAAAAAAAUUAUUUCUUUUUAGACAGAUUGAGUAAAAUAAUUUUUUCUCUCCAUUUUGAUAAUAUAUUGAGUUUUUGUUUUUUAAUUCAACAAUAAAUCAAACUAUAUAUUUAUUUUUCUAAGCAAAAAUAUUUUUUUUCUUUUUGUACAGAGAUUGCAUGCAAACCUUUUUACCUUCAAAUUAGUAUUUAAUUAGGUAGUGGUGUUUUAAUUGGCGAUUCAUGAUCUAACAACUGAUUUUUUGGAAUAGGGUUUAAUAAUUUGAACUUUUUGGUUAUAUUACCCUCAUUGAAUUUUAACUGGUAAUAUAUGUCUCCUAUCCAAUGUUAUACUUCAUUGAGUAAAUGUAGUCUUGUUAGUUAGAUUGAUUGUCCAUGUUAUCAAGAUUUUAACAGAUAAGGAAAACAGAAUGAAUGGGAAAAGAGAACCAUUAAGUGAGUUUUUUUGUAAAUGUUUUAUUCUAUUUAAUCUCAUUUGUGCUAUGUUUUAAUUAUUGUUUUCUUUUGUGGAUUUUCAUUGUUGUUCCAUGAGUUUCUGGUGGAUACCCAUUAUGUGAAAAAAAGAUGCAAAUAAAAUGGAGGGAUGGAAGUUUAGCAGAAGACACACUCUGAAGGACAAAAUAGCCAAGAUGCUCAUGAUGCAAAAUAAUUUGAACCAUGCCUUUGAAUAUGAAGGACUUCAAAGUGGCAAAGAAUCAGGUUCAAGAAAUGAAUGCAAAGAGAAUGAGAAUGAGGAAAUGAAGAUUAAUCACUGAGUUCUUUGCCUAGUGGUGAAGGAAAGAAGGCAAGAGAAUGAGGGAAUUUGAAAGGAAUAUGAAGGGCAAUUUAUAUUGUUUAAAUUUUGUACAAAUAAGACCAAAUUGUCCUUCUACUUGCUCUCCAAGUUUUGUAUUAAUAUAAUUUAUUAUUAUUUUUAAGCAAUACACUGAAUCUGGACCAUA